rnacentral:lncRNA from 13 species
UGAUUGGUUUUUACUUCCUCAGCAGCCUUCCAUUGGUAGAUAGGUGGACGUCACUUUUACAGCGCGCUAAAAUUGUGGAAAUAACUGCUCGGUACAAUAGUUAGCUAUGUCAUUUUCCUGGUGUGAUUUAUUAUUGCCCGCAGUCAGAGCUCCACAAAGAAUAUCGAACGCUCAAGCAAGCAAAUAAAUGGGCACACAGACCCAACACCUACCUCACAGACUCAAUCAGGUUUUGUCUGUAGAUAGCGGCAGCCGUCCCUGUUGCCAGAGAGAAAAGGACUCAGGUUGCUGGGGCACUCAGCUGAACUGUAAGAGCAUGCCGGUGGCUGCCCCCAAACUGACUCUGACAGCCAAGGAAAGGGAGUCCCUCCAAGCCUCGGCCCAGUACUUUGACAUGAAGCUCAAGUCAAACCUGGACCUGGGAGCUCUAACAAAGGAGAGACCGGUUUCUCUGAAGAAGUCGUUCACUCCUCGUGGAACACCUCUGAAGUCAUGGAAAGAUGUCCAGAGCCCAUACCCUGCAGCUGGAGCUGCAGACAGACAUACCCUGCAUCUGGAGCUGCGGGCAGACAGCCAUACCCUACAGCUGGAGCUGCAGGCAGACAGCCAUACCCUGCAGCUGGAGCUGCGGGCAGACAGCCAUACCCUACAGCUAAGCUGCGGGCAGACAGCCAUACCCUACAGCUGGAGCUGCGGACAGACAGACAUACCCUACAGCUGGAGCUGCGGGCAGACAGACAUACCCUACAGCUGGAACUGCGGGCAGACAGACAUAUCCUGCAGCUGGAGCUGCAGGCAGACAGACAUACCCUGUUAUCCCCUCUGCCAAAGCCAGCCAACACACGUCAAGACCUGGCCUCUCCAAUGCAGACAGGGACAGAACACCCAGAGCAGCUGCCGGAGGAGCCCUUUGAGCCCCUAA